AGUGAACGCUGGCGGUAGGCCUAACACAUGCAAGUCGAACGGCAGCACAGUAAGAGCUUGCUCUUACGGGUGGCGAGUGGCGGACGGGUGAGGAAUACAUCGGAAUCUACUUUUUCGUGGGGGAUAACGUAGGGAAACUUACGCUAAUACCGCAUACGACCUACGGGUGAAAGCAGGGGAUCUUCGGACCUUGCGCGAUUGAAUGAGCCGAUGUCGGAUUAGCUAGUUGGCGGGGUAAAGGCCCACCAAGGCGACGAUCCGUAGCUGGUCUGAGAGGAUGAUCAGCCACACUGGAACUGAGACACGGUCCAGACUCCUACGGGAGGCAGCAGUGGGGAAUAUUGGACAAUGGGCGCAAGCCUGAUCCAGCCAUACCGCGUGGGUGAAGAAGGCCUUCGGGUUGUAAAGCCCUUUUGUUGGGAAAGAAAAGCGGCAGGUUAAUACCCCGCUGUUCUGACGGUACCCAAAGAAUAAGCACCGGCUAACUUCGUA
rnacentral:rRNA from 1 species